rnacentral:rRNA from 1 species
CCUACGGGAGGCAGCAGUGGGGAAUCUUGCGCAAUGGGCGAAAACCUGACGCAGCAACGCCGUGUGGGGGAUGAAGGCUUUCGGGUCGUAAACCCCUGUCAGAAGGGAAGAAAUGGUAAGGGUCCAAUAGGCCUUUUAUUUUGGACGGUACCUUCAGAGGAAGCACCGGCUAACUCCGUGCCAGCAGCCGCGGUAAUACGGAGGGUGCAAGCGUUAUUCGGAAUCACUGGGCGUAAAGCGCGCGUAGGCGGCCCUGUAAGUCAGAUGUGAAAAUCCCCACGGCUCAACCGUGGAACUUGCAUUUGAAACUGCGGGGCUUGAAUCCUGGAGAGGGGUGGCAGAAUUCCUGGGUGGAGGGAGUGAAAUCCGUAGAUAUCAGGAGGAAUAACCAGUGGCGAAGGGCGGCCACCUGGACAGGCAUUGACGCUGAAGGUGCGAAAGCGUGGGUAGCAAAACAGGUAUUAAAAUAACCCUGGUAGUCCAC